rnacentral:rRNA from 1 species
UUCCUACGGGAGGCAGCAGUGGGGAAUUUUGCGCAAUGGGCGAAAGCCUGACGCAGCAACGCCGCGUGAGUGAUGAAGGCCCUCGGGUCGUAAAGCUCUGUCAGAGGGGAAGAAACUUUUGGGGGAGAAUAUCCCUUGAAACUGACGGUACCCUCAAAGGAAGCACCGGCUAACUCCGUGCCAGCAGCCGCGGUAAU